rnacentral:misc_RNA from 1 species
AUAUUAUUAAGGAAGUGGGAGAAUGUUCUGAAAGGAUUCAGUCAAAGUUGCUGCAUUUUAAAGGAGGGGAAAGGCCUCUGGUUAAAGAAUUCCCUAUGGAGAAGGGGAUAGGGGUGAAGUUAUAUAAAGGGCUUUGAGUGAAUAUUCCUCCUUCACCUAGGUGUGAUUGAUUUGGCUUAUUUUGUAGGAAGACCGAGGCUAGACAGACAAGAAGGAAGACUGAAGGUUUCUCAAGUACCAGUGACCGAGUGAUUUCAUUUAGAUCUACAUGUUCUAACAUUUCGUACUUGCUCAAUUACACCUUUGUCUGGAGGUUUCCUUGAUUAAACAUUGAUCUAUAGUCAGACUAAAAGUCACUGAUAAACUGAAUUGAAUGGACAGUUGCAUUGUAAUACUGGAACUCUUCAGGUUCACACAGUGGUGAAUUUACAGCUGAUUGUCAAAUGUUGAACUUGUUAUAUUCUUACAAAUGUUUAUUUAGUGGAAAUUCUGGUAAUCCCCACUGUCUUUGGUUGCUAUCGGUAUGUUUCUCUCGGCGGGGAGCAGUUGUUGUCCUUAGUUUGGUAUGUGUGUGAGAGAGAGAGAGAGAGAGCGUGCCUGUUUGCGGUUCUCAGGCUGAGUGUGUGAGCUGUGUUUCUAUACCAGUGUACGUGUUGUUCUGAAAUGUCAUGUUUUUCAUAUCGCAUAUGUAUAUAUAUUAUAACGGCUCCUUCAUGCAAGGUAUACACAAGUGUUUACCCCGGGCCCGGGCAACCUUGGUUACAUAUUUGUUUAUGUCUUCACAACGAUUCAGGACUAAUUCUGUAAGCAAAAUAUGAUUUCAAAUUGUUUGCCAUGGUUAAAAUGUAUUGAUACCAAAGUAAUAACAAUCUUCUUUCUGUAAUUUUUUUUUGUUCAGUUUUUAUUGUGUUAAAUUUCAGUAUUUAUGUUCUGCUUCUGUAACAUGACUUCUUGGCAGAACUUGCCCGUCUGCUUUUGUCAAACAUACUGACCUAGUGCUAUAUUUGAUGGACUUUUUGUUGUUGUUUAUAUCAGAUAGUAUAUUGAAUGCAAACUUGAUGAUAAUUGAUAGAUAACCUACCAAAAUUGUUGUUGCGUGUUUACUACUGUAUAAUGGAUUUCUACUGUAGCAAUACAUGGUAUCAGACAUGAACUGAGUUACCCCCCUUGCUAUGCCCCUGUUUGGAUUUUGUUAGAUAGUCUUCACUGCUUAUUGUUCCAGUGAGGGGGCCCCGGCCCGUCCUCAGCCCACUCGAGGGGGCCACUUGAGGCUCAUCAUCAAAUAAUGCAGCAUUCUGUAGUCAGCCCGUCGUUGACAGGACAAUCUAGGAACAACGUUAAUUCAGUUUUUAUUAUAUCAUAGUUAAUCAUAAUUUUCUCACCUUACUCUUUGUAUAGAAUAUUUCUUUAGCUCUCGGUUAUAGCGGCAUGGUCAUGAUUUUACCUGAAAAUUUCAAAUUUUAUUUGUCACUUUUAAUGUUUACCAUUGCUUUAUUUGGGUAUAUUAAAUGCUCAGCCCAAUUCUGUUUCAAGGAGAUGUUUUCUACUUUCUUGUUCACUAUGAAUACAAUAAAUACAAAAAGGUAAACAGUUUCUACUGUUUGUCACAUUUAGUUGUGUUUUAAACCUAGCACUCGGUAUGUAAACCAAAAUAUUGAACAAGAUGUGUUUACACAACAAAACUGUGAGCUCUGUAUCUUUGCCUAUAUCUCAACAACUGGCAAUCAAAGUUUUGUUGACCACUGGAAAUACUUUAAUGAAGCAUUUUAAACAUUUGGAAAAAUAUAAUUCAAAAACUUUCAGCUCAAAUCUUGACCAUGCCAUUUUAACAGAGGCCUUUAUUAAUUUGACUUGAUUAUUGUGCAAUUGUUCAUUUCUGAUUUCUUCUCCUUUUUAGUGAUUAUUGAAAAGAUUACUGUUGAUUGCUGACAAAUUGUAUCUUUUUUAUAUUUAUCCCUUUUUUCAUUUAUGAAUUGCUAUUAAAUCUGAAAUAAAU